CCAAAGGUAUCCACAUCCUAGUCCCUGAAACCUGUGAAUAUGUUGCCUUAUAUAUCAAAAGAGACUUUGCAGAUGUGAUUAAGUUAAAGAUCUUGAGAUGGGGAUUAUUUAGGUGGGCCCAAUGUAAUCACAAGGGUCCUGAAGAGGAACGCAGGAGUGUCCAAAUCAGAGAAGAAGACGGUGGCAAUGGAUACAGAGAUCAGAGUGAUGCAGCUACAAGACAAUGAAUGCAGCCAGCCUCUAGAAGCUAAAAGAGGCAAGGAACAGAUUCUCUCCCCUGGGCCUCCAGAAGGAAUGCAGCCCUGCUGACUCAUUUUAGAUUUCUGACCUCUAGAACUUUAAGAUAAUAAAUUUAUGUUGUUUUAAGCCACCGAAUUUGUGGUAAUUGGAUACCGUGGCAAUAGGUAAUACACUUCCUGUGACCCUUUUGCCCUCAGAACCUCAGACUGAGGGAGUGAGAGUGCAUUGUGUCCACCUCCUUCUUGCAGGUACGGAAACUGAGACCCAAAGAAGAGGAACAACUCGUGCAAAGCGUGCAGUGAGUAGUCAGUGGCUGCACUGAGUCAUCACCUCGUGUUCCUGACUGCCCUUCAGUUCUGGGAAGCAGUACGAUUAUGAUCCCCGUUUUCCAGAUGAGGAAACUGAGGCUUGGAGAGUUGAAGCCCAGUUGCCCAUGGCUUCACAUCAGCAAAUGAUGGACCCAGGAUUGGAUGGCCCUAACAACAAAAGGUUAUCUGCCUCCCCCACUAUGCCCUGGACACAGCUGAACCAAGACCCCUCCUUCUGUGGGUUGUUUCCUCAGCCGUUGCCAGCUCUGCCCCCGCGGCCUUGGGAGCCUGUG